CGAGUAAUCGCGGUUUGAAAAUGGGGCAUUUUCGGUAUACUAUGUCGCCCAUCGCGGGAAUAAUCACCGCAUGGGAAUUAUGGCUCGAGGAAAAUUUAUACUGUACGAGUCGUUAUUAUUUUUGUUUUAUUUCGAAGAAUGUGCAUAUAUGUCGAUCGUUGUUGAGUUUAACUGCUGCAUUUAAGUUAAAUACACUGUUAUUUUACCAUUAUUUUUAUAGAAUUCGAAUAUAUUUUGUGAAAAUGGAAUCUGAUGAUGGCAAUGUUGUUUAUAUUGUUGAUCCUAAGUAUGGGAAAAGUUGAACUUAUGAAUUUAAUGCUGAUUUAGAACUGUUAUUGAGCAAACUGUUCCUACAUCCCGCUUUGGCAAAUGGUAUAACAUCUAAUCCAGUCAAGUUGUGCUCAUGACCAUUCAACUGAUUCAAGCAAUGAAACUAUUGAACCAGAAUAAUAAGAGCAACCUGUUAUAUAAAUUUGCCCAUACCUGCCUUUUAAUAGAUACAUAUUUUAGUAGACAUUUUACAUAUAAAUAUUGGUGUAUUGGUGACAUGAAAAUGUUGCAAUUAAUCUUAAGUAUUUACUUUAUAUAUUGUAACUUUGAAUAAAGCAUUUUAUUAACAUCAAUUAUGUAUGACCACUGCAUUUAUAUGACCACCAAAUAUCAGGGGUGGAUUUACUGGGGGGUGUGCACCCCCCACCUAGCCCUGGCCAGAGGGUAUGCAGGGGGGGGGGGUAUUUUCAUGAUAAAGCAAAAAAUAUUAGAGACAAAAUUUGAGUAAUAACAU